AGUGAACGCUGGCGGUAGGCCUAACACAUGCAAGUCGAACGGCAGCACAGUAAGAGCUUGCUCUUACGGGUGGCGAGUGGCGGACGGGUGAGGAAUACAUCGGAAUCUACUUUUUCGUGGGGGAUAACGUAGGGAAACUUACGCUAAUACCGCAUACGACAUACGGGUGAAAGCAGGGGAUCUUCGGACCUUGCGCGAUUGAAUGAGCCGAUGUCGGAUUAGCUAGUUGGCGGGGUAAAGGCCCACCAAGGCGACGAUCCGUAGCUGGUCUGAGAGGAUGAUCAGCCACACUGGAACUGAGACACGGUCCAGACUCCUACGGGAGGCAGCAGUGGGGAAUAUUGGACAAUGGGCGCAAGCCUGAUCCAGCCAUACCGCGUGGGGGAAGAAGGCCUUCGGGUUGUAAAGCCCUUUUGUUGGGAAAGAAAAGCAGCAGGUUAAUACCCCGCUGUUCUGACGGUACCCAAAGAAUAAGCACCGGCUAACUUCGUG
rnacentral:rRNA from 1 species